rnacentral:rRNA from 1 species
GCAGUCUGCAACUCGAGUGCAUGAAGCUGGAAUCGCUAGUAAUCGCGGAUCAGAAUGCCGCGGUGAAUACGUUCCCGGGUCUUGUACACACCGCCCGUCACACCAUGGGAGCCGGUAACGCCCGAAGUCAGUGGCCCAACCGAGAGGGGGGAGCUGCCGAAGGCGGGACUGGUAACUGGGGUGAAGUCGUAACAAGGUAUC